UUACCUGGCUUCCAGAUGCUCCUUGCCGGCAGCUCCUCUUCAUCCUUGAGCGAUUCUAAAUCUUCCAGCUGCUCAUGUCUCUCUCCAACCCAAAUCAGACCAUAGUCAUUUAGAAACCGCUGUAAGAGGAAAAUACAAGUCAGUGUUGUAUAGCGGAGCUUCAGAGAACUAAAAUGGAAGCCUGAGAGGGCUCGGCUGUGAUCAUGAGAAGCAGAAGGGGAGAUGAAAAAGAGCGGCGAGGUGGAGAAUCGCAAUGAUCAAAGUGGCAUCCUGAAAAAGCCCAAGCAGCCCGGGACAGCAAUGACCUCAAACCCGGGGUGCAGGUGUCUCACCUCCAUCUCCCAGAGCUGGGUCUGCAGCUGAAGGCACCUCAUUUCCAGUUCCUCUGCUGUGGAUGAGCCAGGAGCAUCUGGAAAGGCAAGAGUUGGUUUUUCCACGUACAGCCUCAAAUAAAAGCUGUAGAUAACCCACGACACAGCAGCACCUGCUCUUGCUCUAAGUGAACUCAGUGCAGGAGCUGAACACAAGCUUUGUGUGCUGGACCCUGACAAUUCAACCUGCAGCACUUCCAGAAAGACGCUGACAGACUAAAAGAUAGUUGUGAACAACACUAGUGUGGUUUUAUGCUUUGGGAAGCUGAUGGGAGCGAUGCUGUUUGCAAUUACACUAUGAGAAUUGCUUGGCUAACUCAGGCUUAAGGAACCUAUUAAAAAAAUGAGCAGGUGUCCACUAAAGCUGGAUCCAGAAACCCAGGCUGACUGGCUGGAACAAUGUGUGAUGAGUGUUGUCCCCCUCGUGUCCCAGGAGACAGGCUGGCAUCCGCUGAGAAGAGGCAUGAAGAGCAUGAGAGAAAGAAAACAGGUCAAUAUUUUGGAUAUGGCUUCUCCAAAAACAGCACUGGCAGCGGAUGCGACUUCCCCAAAUUGCCGUAGGUUCAAACGGCCCUUUGGGGCGGUGGGGCCGGUGCAGGGAAGGCAAGUGUGAUUGGUGAGACGGGGCCGCCGCCGCGCUUAAAGCCUCCGGCUGCCACCGCUGCGAGCAGAUGAGGAAGCGUCGCAGCACAGCGCGAGCCGAGCCCCGAGCAUGCAGCCCCCCCGGUGCGCCCACCUCCUCCUGCUCGCCCUGCUCGUCCUCUGCCUGCCCUUCGGCCAUGCGGAGGUGACCCCAGCCACCACCUCCUCCACCACCGUCGUCGCCCCCCAGGCCAACCUGAGCCCGCCCUGUGCCCGCGCCCCGCUCCUGUCCCUCGCUAUGGGGCUGGUCGCAGCUUUCGCCCUGCGCCUCCGCUGACCCCCGAGAUGCCACCUCCAGGACGGCACCCGCUGCCCCGGCUCUGUCCUUCUUCAGCCUCAAAAUCACACCCCGGAGCCCCCCCCGGGUUUGCUGCGGGGCCCUGAGAAAUAAAGUGCUGGUGUAGAGGC